AAGUCGUUAACAAGUUCCGUAGGAUCAACCUGCGGAAGGAUCAUUAAGAAUGAAGAGGCCCGGACCAUGCUCGUGGGCGAAACGCUUUCGCAACCGUCGCCAUGUUAAUGGCCGGCCCCUAAACCCUGCCCCACCCCGUUUGCUCGGUAUUGAUUCCCUUCUCGGUUGGCUUUGGGCCAGGCCCGCGACCCUCCUGGGGGCAAGCGCUGGCAUUCCGGCUGGAGAGUGCCUGCCAGAGGAAUCCAAACUCAUUGUAAUUUAAUGCCGUCUGGAGUACUACGAAAAUAGUAAAA
rnacentral:misc_RNA from 1 species